rnacentral:rRNA from 1 species
UUAAAUUGAAGAGUUUGAUCAUGGCUCAGAUUGAACGCUGGCGGCAGGCCUAACACAUGCAAGUCGAACGGUAACAGGAAGCAGCUUGCUGCUUUGCUGACGAGUGGCGGACGGGUGAGUAAUGUCUGGGAAACUGCCUGAUGGAGGGGGAUAACUACUGGAAACGGUGGCUAAUACCGCAUAACGUCGCAAGACCAAAGAGGGGGACCUUCGGGCCUCUUGCCAUCAGAUGUGCCCAGAUGGGAUUAGCUUGUUGGUGAGGUAACGGCUCACCAAGGCGACGAUCCCUAGCUGGUCUGAGAGGAUGACCAGCCACACUGGAACUGAGACACGGCCCAGACUCCUACGGGAGGCA